rnacentral:rRNA from 1 species
UGAGUAACACGUAUGCAACCUGCCUGCCACAGCCGGAUAAUCGGGAGAAAUUCCGUCUAAUACGGCAUAAUGCAUCGACGGGACAUCCUGUUGGUGCCAAAGGUUGAUUCCGGUGGCGGAUGGGCAUGCGUCGCAUUAGUUAGUUGGUGGUGUAACGGACCACCAAGACGACGAUGCGUAGGGGUUCUGAGAGGAAGGUCCCCCACACUGGUACUGAGACACGGACCAGACUCCUACGGAAGGCAGCAG